rnacentral:rRNA from 1 species
CAGUCGCCGCGGUAAUACGUAGGUGGCAAGCGUUGUCCGGAAUUAUUGGGCGUAAAGGGCUCGCAGGCGGUUUCUUAAGUCUGAUGUGAAAGCCCCCGGCUCAACCGGGGAGGGUCAUUGGAAACUGGGAAACUUGAGUGCGGAAGAGGAGAGUGGAAUUCCACGUGUAGCGGUGAAAUGCGUAGAGAUGUGGAGGAACACCAGUGGCGAAGGCGACUCUCUGGUCUGUAACUGACGCUGAGGAGCGAAAGCGUGGGGAGCGAACAGGAUUAGAUACCCGCGUAGUCCCUGUCUCUUAUAU